UAUGUUUUGUUUAGACAUAGAACAAUAUAAAUACUCAAAAUGCAAGAAAAAAAAAAUGAUUUCAUAACGUUGUUAUAUUGAUUUAUAAGAAUAUUAUUUUGACGGAAUAAUAUCUUAUCAUUUUCAUAUGCAUAUAUAAAAAGAACCUUAUUAUUUCACAUUUUAUAUGUAAAACUGGCCAAUUCUAAGGGUUAAUCUUUGUCAUCAAUCUCUUACAAUAUUAAUUUUACUUUUUAAAUAUAUAGACAUAUAAGAGAUAUCGUUGCCAUAAUUGAUUAUCUCUACGAUCUAUUAUGAUUGUUUACGCACUUUUUUGUAUUCAGUUUCUUUACUCUCUGAUGAUACUUCUGCAUUUUUAUUAAUUGACUGAUAAGCAUAGUCACGAAUGCAAGUACCAAAAUAUGAACCUGAUUUUAUUAAGAUAUGGCAGCUUAAGUAUUAUGAGACUGAAAAAAAAUGUAUGUCACAGCGUACAUAAAAAUCCUUUACUGAGUUAACGUGUACAAAAUUGUAGAUAAAUAAUAAAACCUGUUAAUUGAAUAAAAUUCCUUUGAAAAAGUAUACAUAUUAAUAUUUUUUAACGGAGCCAAACCUUACUGACAAUUUACAGCUACUUUAAAGAUUGCUCAAUUUCAUCAUGAAGAUAUCAUUGUAGACAUCAUUCAACUUGAAGAUAGUAAAAUAAGAGAAGGUAAUUUUAUGAACGUGUCAACCAUGCCAAAGCCGGGCCAAAGCGGGUGUACUACUGCUGCUAGUCUACGAGGUACAAUAAAAAUGCAAUGUGCAUUAAUUAGAAAAAAAUGCACCGAGUGGGAACAAUCCUUAAGUUAAAGAAAAAUCAAUGUUUAAAAAUGUUAAACUAUUUAUAAUUUUUUUAAUGACAAUGAACGUUUUUCUUAAAUUAGCAGCUGAUCUCUAUUCAAUGUGUAUUUGUGCUGUGAGAACUGUUAUACUCUACGAUGUGUAAUAAUUUUGCAAGAACUUAACACAAUGUUUUUUUUUUGUUAUAAAGAAUUGAUUCCACACAUUUUUUUACCGGGAUCUUACAGUACAGUUCAGUAUUAUUCUUUUAUUUAUUAUUGCCUAAUAUAUUGCUAAGUAUAAUUUUUGAAAAUGUUAUCGUAAAAAUUUUUGUCGAGGUUUUCAAAGUUGUUUAUUUAUAUAUAGAAAAAUAUGUAUUUUGCAUUAUUGCGUAUGUUUAAUAAAUUAAGUAUUUGUUUCUGUAAACCAAA